UUAAAUUGAAGAGUUUGAUCAUGGCUCAGAUUGAACGCUGGCGGCAGGCCUAACACAUGCAAGUCGAACGGUAACAGGAAACAGCUUG
rnacentral:rRNA from 3 species